rnacentral:lncRNA from 1 species
ACAGAAUUGGGCCUGCGGUCUGCUUUCUCCUGAGGACAUCAAGUCAGUGCAUGAAUAUUUUCUCGCGCCACAGUACAAGCUCUCUAACCUCAUAAGGGGUUAGAAACGCCUAGAGGGGAGCUGGAGGAGAGAGACUACAUGCAGAUAGCGAUCUGCGGUAAGCAGGAAAACACAGACUGUUCUCGGUGGGGCUUUUGAUGGCGGGGUGCGGAGAGGACAUGAAGACAGGGUGACCUUGGGGAUCCAUGCCCGUGUGUUGCUCCCUAAAGCUACCUUCUGGUUGUACGAAUGCAGGUGACACCAAAACUGUGGUCAUUUCACUUGGUUUUAAUUGAAAUAAGUUUGUAGAAUCUCAAGAAUCCAAGAGAAUGUACAUUUUUUGAGAAACCAACUUUUUUGCAGAAGGCUUUACGUAGGCCCUCCUGUUACCUCUAUGUAAAUGUCCACAUGUCAUCUGGAUGGAUAUACUAGGAGAAGUAAUUAUGGUUAUUUCAUUUUUAGAUUAUGAAACUCAGUCCAUCAACAGACUCGCUUCCAUUGAUUUUUCUUCUCACUUCCAUCACCGCCAUCUGCCCUCCCACCCUAGACCCCAGAGCACAGGAAACCUCUUGUGAGCACACGAAUGUGCAGAGGGGUAAGAGGUUGUCUUUUUUUUUUUUUUUUUUGUGCAACAUGAGUUUUGGUAAAAUGUGUGUCUAGAAGUUGAGAUGUAUUUCUUAGCACAAAUUAUUAUAUACCACUUAGAAACAAAGAAUCGUGGUUAAGAGCAUUUUUUUAGGAAUGAACACUGCUUUAGAAUCAAUUUUAAUGACAGUCAUCUGAUUAAGAAGGCAUACGCUCAGUCCAGAAAUCAAUCCGAAUAAUCAUAAAAAAUAUUUCAGCAAUCACAAAUCCUGUAAUAAUAGAAUUUCUACCCUCACAUUCAUUAUGACUUGAUGACUCAUUAUCUCAAAGUCAUCCAUACUAACCUUCACAAAAGCACUCAUUCGUGGAUCCUAAAAAGCUUUAAAAUCAUUCUUCAUAAUUUAUAAACAUGACCAUACUGGUCUAUUUUUUGUCUUUUUCUGUCUUUUUAGGGUGACACCAGUGGCACAUGGAGGUUCCCAGGCUAGGGGUCCAAUCAGAGCUGUAGCUGCGGGCCAACGUCACGCGGGAUUCCAGCGAAGUCUGCAACCUACACCACAGCUCAUGGCAAUACCGGCUCCUCAACCCACUGAGCAAGGCCAAGGACCGAACCUGCAUCCUCAUGGAUGCUUGUCAGGUUCAUUAACCACUGAGUCACAAUGGGAACUCCCAUACUGGUCUGUUUUCUGUGCCUUUCAGGAUGCCCCAGCUUCCCCUGAGCCCUAGACUUGGCCCUUGGGCUUGUCCAGAAUGGACAGCCUCCUGAGACAGGGCUCUGGAGGGACCACCUCUCACCUGCCCUAACAGGAGCCUCAGUGGUCCCUGGCCUGGGUCUGACCUGACAAGACUCACGUGCCGCGUGCGUGGCUGCUGCCCUCCCAUCUCUUCCAGGCAGCUUCCUAAGAUGUGAAGCCUGGCUUCCCUGAUGGCUCCCCUAAGUGGCUAACAACACAGAUGUGCAGCACUGAAUCAAGACGAGAGGCCAAGAAGAUAAAUCCUUCUUCCUCUCUCCACGCCCUCCUCCGCUGAUGGACUGCUUCAAGGUGACCUGGAGGAUGAACACCUGCUUGGGCAUAUUUCCUCGUGAGCGUAUGUCCCGUUCCUUCACAUGCCCGCCAGGUAUCUGCUUCCCUCCUCCGCUGCCUCAUCUCUCUCUCCCUCACUUCUGCAGCCCUGAGAUCACACCUCGCAACGUAACAUUAACAAGUAAUUUUUGACACAGCUUUUAUUCUCUAGGCGAUCUGAUUAAAACAAUGCUUUUUUUUUUUUAAAUCACACAUUAUAUCUCCAAUCCAGCCUCCUGCCUACAGUCCAUUCUCUUCUUAAAAAGAAUGAAUGGAGACCUAAAGUUUACAUUAAGGUUCUUUAGAGCUGCUCCAGCGAAGUGUCUCUGCGUUGAGACUCUUUUCUCUAAAUCUCAUCUAACGUUCCUGUAAGUGGGUUUCAUCGCAGCGCAGUAUGACUGGGUAUUAGCAAUCCUCUUCUCUGAUUGGCUGCUUCUGCCCAGUCUGGUUGGUGGUGGACGAAGACAACUGACAGUCGCUUUCCCCACCUGCAGCCUCCUACUUACAAGCCCAUUUCCUGAUCUCCAUCCUAUUACCACUGAUGCUACCCUCUGCCUCCUUUGUGUCCUGACCUCCCCUUCCCUUUCAGCAAAUUCCUGACAUGUACUGGUGAUAGAGCCAGUUCAAGGUAGUAUUCACGAUCCUUUUGAUUCAGGAUAUGCUGUUUGGGAUAGAAUAGGUAUCUUUUAAUCGACAGCUACAGAAUAUCAGCUGCCAAGAGCAAUGUGAUAUUUGGGGGUUGUAAACCAGACACUUUAAACCAUACCUAGAUGGAGAAAAAGAAGUGAAAGGACUUUUUCACUUCUCUAUUUAAUGGACCAGAUAGUAUCUUCUUAGGGAGAGGGAGGGGUGGUGAGGAUAAAAGCUCUUCGAUAUUUAGUGGAAUCAAAAGGCAGGGACAGAAAAAAAAUGGAGUUCCUGUUGUGGCUCAGUGGGAACAAACCUGGCUGGCAUCCAUGAGGACGCAGGGUCAAUCCCUCGCCUUGCUCAGUGGCCUUGAUCCAGCGUUGCCAUGAGUGUGGCGCAGGCAGCAGAUGCGGCUCGGAUCUUACAUUGCUGUGGCUGUGGUGUAGGCCAGCUUCAAUUCGACCCCUAGCCUGGGAACCUCCAUAUGCUGUGGGUGCAGCCCUAAAGAGACAGGGAAAAAAAAAAAAAAAAAAGGACAAAAAAAAUUAGGAAAAGAAAGGCAGGGACUGUGAACGCUGGAAGAGAACAGGAGGGCUGCUCCUUUAAACAGUAAGGAGUUAAAAUUCCUUGGAUGUUUUGCACAGAUAAUGUCCGAGGCUGAGUUUAAGACAAACACUCUCCUGGGAUUAAAACAAAACAAACAUAAACCAGGGCCCUUGGACCCUGAGCAAGCCUGAGGAGAGGCGUUUUCAUCCUCAUGUGACGUUUAGAAUGAGUUGAAAAGGGAAAGUCAGGCAUCAGUGAGUUAUGCAGCACAGUGUACCCAGGGAUGAUUAAGUGCCUCUGAGGUUUUUUGGUUUUCUUCUAUUUGAAACUAAUGAUUGAGUUAGAGUAUUUCUCUUCAGUGGCUCAAUAUUACUUAAUGUUAUGGUUGAAAAAUAAGGCGUAAAAAUAAAAUAAGAUUUUAAUUUUAUUUAUUUACCA